CGGCCGGAUGGGUCGCCCGGUGGCUGCGCGGUCUCGGCGAGCUCGGCAUCCUCGCGGCCGCGGCCGGCGUGAUCGUCGCGCGUCCGCCCGU
rnacentral:tRNA from 1 species